AGACUAUCUAGGAAAUAUUGAACU
rnacentral:miRNA from 1 species